GCAUAUAUUGAUGACAUGCCUCUUUCCCAAAAGUGGGCAUUGGAUCCUUCCUUUAGCACCAACUUGUUGGUGCGGAUUUCGUCGAGCGUCGGAGCGGCUAGAGUUAGUAGAGUGCCAGACCGUCGGAGACAAAACCUACAAGAAAAGUUCUGACCAGAGGUGACUUCGGUGGAAACCCUCUGACGCUUAAGUCAGAAAUCUAACUGACAGGAAGAAAAUAGAAGCAUUCAAGAGAGAGAAAGGUUGCAUACCUUUGAGGUCUCCUGUUUACCUCUUUUUAUAAGAGAGGCUGGAGUCGUGGGAGAGCAUAGGUUGUCAGAGAUUUUCUACCCUUUAAUUGAGUAUCCUUAGAAUCCGUGCAUGGCCUUUAGGUUUUUCUGAGUUUGGUGAAUAGUCACCUGAUGGCAC
rnacentral:lncRNA from 1 species